CCCUUAGAUGUUCUGGGCCGCACGCGCGCUACACUGAUGCAUUCAACGAGCCUAUCCUUGACCGACAGGUCCGGGUAAUCUUUGAAUCGGCAUCGUGACGGGGAUAGAUUAUUGCAAUUAUUAAUCUUCAACGAGGAAUGCCUAGUAGGCGCAAGUCAUCAGCUUGCGUCGAUUACGUCCCUGCCCUUUGUACACACCGCCCGUCGCUCCUACCGAUUGGGUGUGCUGGUGAAAUGUUCGGAUCGGCCGUUUGUCGCGGUUUCCGCGGCUCGUGGCUGAGAAGUUCAUUAAACCCUCCCACCUAGAGGAAGGAGAAGUCGUAACA
rnacentral:rRNA from 1 species